AUUUAAAUAGCUUAAUGAUAAGAGUAUAAUAUUGAAGAUAUUAAGGUGAUUGAAAAAUCUUUAAAUA
rnacentral:tRNA from 1 species